rnacentral:rRNA from 1 species
GGCCUGGGCGGCGUCUAAUAAUGCAGUCGAGCGAAUGGAUUAAGAGCUUGCUCUUAUGAAGUUAGCGGCGGACGGGUGAGUAACACGUGGGUAACCUGCCCAUAAGACUGGGAUAACUCCGGGAAACCGGGGCUAAUACCGGAUAACAUUUUGAACUGCAUGGUUCGAAAUUGAAAGGCGGCUUCGGCUGUCACUUAUGGAUGGACCCGCGUCGCAUUAGCUAGUUGGUGAGGUAACGGCUCACCAAGGCAACGAUGCGUAGCCGACCUGAGAGGGUGAUCGGCCACACUGGGACUGAGACACGGCCCAGACUCCUACGGGAGGCAGCAGUAGGGAAUCUUCCGCAAUGGACGAAAGUCUGACGGAGCAACGCCGCGUGAGUGAUGAAGGCUUUCGGGUCGUAAAACUCUGUUGUUAGGGAAGAACAAGUGCUAGUUGAAUAAGCUGGCACCUUGACGGUACCUAACCAGAAAGCCACGGCUAACUACGUGCCAGCAGCCGCGGUAAUACGUAGGUGGCAAGCGUUAUCCGGAAUUAUUGGGCGUAAAGCGCGCGCAGGUGGUUUCUUAAGUCUGAUGUGAAAGCCCACGGCUCAACCGUGGAGGGUCAUUGGAAACUGGGAGACUUGAGUGCAGAAGAGGAAAGUGGAAUUCCAUGUGUAGCGGUGAAAUGCGUAGAGAUAUGGAGGAACACCAGUGGCGAAGGCGACUUUCUGGUCUGUAACUGACACUGAGGCGCGAAAGCGUGGGGGAGCAAACAGGAUUAGAUACCCUGGUACUCCACGCCGCAAACGAUGAGUGCUAAGUGUUAGAGGGUUCCCGCCCCUUUAUUGCUGAAGUUAACGCAUUAAGCACUCCGCCGGCUGAGUACGGGCCGCAUGGCUGAUAUUUAAAUAUAAUUUGAUAGGAGGCCCGCCCCAGCGGUUGGAGGAAGUGAUUUAUUUAAAUCAAUGGAAGCAAACUAACCAUGCCUUGACUUCGUGUGUAUAUCAUAUAGAAUAGUGUUUCGGCUUCGCGACGGGAGGGCCACGUGCUGCUGGGUGUGUUCUCUCUUCUCCCUGAAGUGUGAGUAUUAAAGACGAAACCGCCUACACCCGUGCAUCUUUGUUUUCAUUUAUAUCUAUCUGUGUCG